CCUACGGGAGGCAGCAGUGGGGAAUAUUGGGCAAUGGGCGCAAGCCUGACCCAGCAACGCCGCGUGAAGGAAGAAGGCUUUCGGGUUGUACACUUCUUUUAUCAGGGAAGCAGCAAGUGACGGUACCUGAUGAAUAAGCCACGGCUAACUACGUGCCAUCAGCCGCGGUAAUCCGUAGGUGUCAAGCGUUAUCCGGAUUUAAUGGGUGUACAGGGCGUGGAGGCGGGAGUGCAAGCCAGAUGUGAAAACUAUGUGCUCAACCCAUAGCCUGCAUUUGAAACUGUACUGCGUGAGUGCUGGAGAGGCAAUCGGAAUUCCGUGUGUAGCGGUGAAAUGCGUAGAUAUACGGAGGAACACCAGUGGCGAAGGCGGAUUGCUGGACAGUAACUGACGCUGAGGCGCGAAAGCGUGGGGAGCAAACAGGAUUAGAUACCCGAGUAGUC
rnacentral:rRNA from 1 species